UUCUCCAGAGAUUAGCUUGCUAUAGUUGUCAGCUAAGUGGCGCACGGGUGAGUAAUGUAUAGGUAAUAUGCCUCUUACUAAGGGAUAACAAAUGGAAACGUUUGCUAAUACCUUAUACUCCUUAUUAACAGAAGUUAAUAAGGGAAAGAUUUAUUGGUAAGAGAUUAGCCUGUAUUGUAUCAGUUAGUUGGUGGGGUAAUGGCUUACCAAGACUAUGACACAUAACUGGUUUGAGAGGAUGAUCAGUCACACUGGAACUGAGACACGGUCCAGACUCCUACGGGAGGCAGCAGUGGGGAAUAUUGCACAAUGGACGAAAGUCUGAUGCAGCAACGCCGCGUGGAGGAUGACACAUUUCGGUGCGUAAACUCCUUUUAUAUGAGAAGAUAAUGACGGUAUUAUAUGAAUAAGCACCGGCUAACUCCGUGCCAGCAGCCGCGGUAAUACGGGGGGUGCAAGCGUUACUCGGAAUCACUGGGCGUAAAGAGCAUGUAGGCGGAUUAAUAAGUUUGAAGUGAAAUCCUAUAGCUUAACUAUAGAACUGCUUUGAAAACUGUUAAUCUAGAAUGUGGGAGAGGUAGAUGGAAUUUCUGGUGUAGGGGUAAAAUC
rnacentral:rRNA from 1 species